rnacentral:rRNA from 1 species
GACGAACGCUGGCGGCGUGCUUAACACAUGCAAGUCGAACGGAAAGGCCCUGCUUUUGUGGGGUGCUCGAGUGGCGAACGGGUGAGUAACACGUGAGUAACCUGCCCUUGACUUUGGGAUAACUUCAGGAAACUGGGGCUAAUACCGGAUAGGAGCUCCUGCUGCAUGGUGGGGGUUGGAAAGUUUCGGCGGUUGGGGAGGGACUCGCGGCUUAUCAGCUUGUUGGUGGGGUAGUGGCUUACCAAGGCUUUGACGGGUACCCGGCCUGGGGGGGUGACCGGCCACAUUGGGACUGAGAUACGGCCCAGACUCCUACGGGAGGCAGCAGUGGGGAAUAUUGCACAAUGGGCGGAAGCCUGAUGCAGCAACGCCGCGUGCGGGAUGACGGCCUUCGGGUUGUAAACCGCUUUCGCCUGUGACGAAGCGUGAGUGACGGUAAUGGGUAAAGAAGCACCGGCUAACUACG